GGAGGGGUGGAGACGAAACCAAAGGAAAAAGGUCCCGUGAUCGCGGUAAAGAAGCCCGCCGUGGCCAAACCCACUAAGGUCCCCGUCGCCUCUCUGACCUUCGGGGAGACGAUCCAGAGGCACCCGUUUCCGUACGACAUACGUAAGCCGACUUUAAAAAAAAAACGUGUCCGAUUGUCUUUAAUUUCUUUAACGUCUUUCUGUAUUUAGUGUGAUAUUUUUCUUUCUCUCCUUCACAGCGUGCGUCAAGGUGAAGACAUGCUUGUCGCGGAAGUUUGCUGCCAAUGGCCAGAAGCAGCUGUUCCUCAGCAACCUGCCGUACUUCGACGAGGUCAGCUACACCGAGGACGACCUGGUGCAGCUGCUCACGCCGUUCGGGUUUCAAUACGCGGAGGACAACAUCUACGUGCUCCCUCAGACGGGCAUGGCCUUCGUCUUCAUGUCUGAAGUGAAGCACGCGUUGGACCUCACAAAGUCCGCCGCGAGGAUGGGCCUUUACUUCAAAGGGAUGAGACUCGGCUGCAAUGUUCUGGCAAACAGCUUUAAGCUGACACCGAUGUGGUUUUAUAAAACAAUCAUGAAGCUGAUGCGUUUUCGGGUGAUCGACGAAGGAUCCAAAAUUGUCCUGAUCAAGAACAUUUCCUGGAGCGAGACCGCGGAGCUCAGAACGUCUCUGAUGAAGAUCCAGUCCGUCAGGAACUUCUUCCCUCUGCUCAACAAGGUGUUCGUGGAGUUCGACAGCGUCUGCAACGCGGACCGACUCGGCGUCUGGUACAGUCUUCUGAGACGCCCCCCGGCCCACAAGCUCUACAGGCUGAAGGUGCCGCACCUCGGCCACGUCCUCCUGCAACCGCCGAGACAUCCCGAGAACGCGAUGCCUCCCAGCAAGGACGCCGUUGCCGGGGCGACGCGCCCCACCAUGGAGUUCGGCAUCCCGCCGGACAGCGUGGGGCCGUUUUGGGUGACGCUGACGCAGCACCCCUUCCUGUUCCCGACCAGGUGUCCGUGGUUCGUCAUCCCGAAUUACCUGACGGUCGCAUUUCAGGAGGACAUCGAGAAGGCGAGCCGCGGCGCCAUGUUCCCGACCGUCAUGUUGACCCGUUUGCCGGCGGGCCACUACCAGCACCGGGACGUGGCCAAGCUGGUGUGGCGCUACUUCCCCAAAAAGAACCUCCAGUCCCUGUACUACAACGUGGUGGUCUUGCCUCUGCAGAGGAGGGCCUUCGUGUUUUUCGUCGAUUGGAAUUCGUGCUGGAAAUUCGUCCGCGACCACACGAGGCACCCCGUUUGCGUGAAGCUCUACCCGCUCACGGUGCACUUCGUCUUGGAGCACAUCCACCCGGCUACCAGCGAGGAGAUGAUGUACUCCUCCAUGAUGAAGUGGAGCAACGCUGGAGUUCCUGAGCCGGCGUCUCUGGAGGAGCGGCUGCUCUGCGUGGAGACCUCCGAGACGUCCGUGGACAUCAUCGCGGUGGUCAUGGAAGUGGUGGCGUCCAUCGCGCCCUUCGUGGGCUUCCUGCCGCUCGCCAACCGGAUAUGCAUCGAGAUGGCGGACUCCGCCGCCGUAGCCCUGGUGGUGGAGAAAUACAAAACUUUGCCAAAGGGCUGCUUUAAAAACCCGAAGGCUUGUAUGAAGAACCUUAAACUUCGUCUCCAAGACACGAGCGACAUCAAAAACUUUGAGCCGAACCCCUUCAAGAUCAGAACCCCGCCCUUCUUGUCUGAACUACCGAGCGUCGAGUCACAGCCUGCUCGGCCAACAGGCGGCGCUGUCGAGCCCGUCGCAGCCGGACCGAGUGCCGGCGCCGCCGCGAGCGACCUUUCCCUAAAGAAGGACGACGAGACACCGGGAACGGACUCCACUUUGGUUCCCGAGGCCAACGCUGAUGCAUCCAAAGAAGGAGAAGGAGCAGAAAAGAGGGAAGAGGAGGAGUCGUCGUCGUCGUCGUCGUCGCCGACGACCUCGGAAUCCGCGGUCGCCACGGCGCCCGUUCCAGAGAAACAAUUUGCGGAAUUUCCCCAGAUUAACGAGGACAUAUUCAAGGCCAUCACGGUGGCGGUUCGCAACCACCGGCUCACCCGAGAGAGCGGCUCGAAGAGCGAGGAGAAGGAGAUCCCCGGCAAAAGCGGCACGAGCUCUCGACCGGCAACGGCUGAAGACGCGCCGCAAAGAAAGGCUCGGGAGGGUUCCACGGACGGCGUCGCUUCGUCGGACGCCCGUCGGUUCGAUGAGCUGAACUUCAACAUGGACGACUUUGUCACCGUGGACGAAGUCGGCGGCGACGCGGGCGACAAGAAGCCCGAGCCUCACGGCGCCUCCUCGUCCAAGCAGUCCUCCAGGACGAGAAGUCAGAGGCAAAGCUCCACGAGGUCUUCGAAAGACUCCAAGGGCGCGGCCUCUUCCUCGUCCAAGUCGAUCAAAGACGCCGUCUCUUCGGGCUUCGCGUCACCGAAGAAGUCCAAGCACUCGUCUGAGCGGUCCAGAUCCCCGAUCAAACCCUCGGCCUGUAAGACCUCCCCCUCUUCUUCUUCACCGUCCACUGAAAGCCCCUCCUCCGCCCUCGGUGAGAAAACGCAACGCGGCAAAACACCACCUUCGGCCAAAGCGUCCCCCGGCGCCGGUACCCGCUCAUCCUCCGCUGCGCGCGAACCGAAAGGCGCGGCGACGGUCUCCACAGAAAGUCGCCCCGAGCUGCUUCUAGAAGAUAAAGACGCCGUGUGCACCGCGGCAACGUCUGACCACGACGUGCCCGCGGAAAGCGUCGCUGCGGAAACUGUUGCGUCAUCAGAGAUGCCUCCACCUCAACGGGAACAGGAAAAGGGGUUGGAGUUGAGCCACGCCCAGUUGAGUCCGGAGAUUUCCAUUAAUGCCAACAACACGCUUGAAGAGCAGGAGAAACUCCAAGAGGAAAGGAAAGAAGAAGACGUUGAAGAGGUUGAAAGUUACCAAAUUCUCGAUUCACUCGACGGUCAGACGGAGGAGCCGAUGGAUGAAGGGGACCGAGCCGGCGGCUCGGAAGCCCAGCCAAGUGCACCUAAAGAAGGCCGGGCUUCGCGCGACGAAAGGGUUCAGGUCUCGGAGAGUGUCGACGGUGAAGUCGAAGCCUGCCCGCCGGAGUGUGAGGAAGCAGAGAUGGGCCGUUCUCUCCAAGCGUCGGACGGCGUCGCCGAAGGCGAAGCGUCCGCAGGUCCGCAGGACAAUCCCCUGGUUCAAGAGGACGCCGUGAAGCAGACGUCUGAGGAUCACGAGACUAGUAGUGUAGACACUUUGCAGGUGUCAGAUGCAGGUAGUGAACACACAGAUGGGAAUAAGAGAAAAGAGGAGGAAGUCCAAGACCAAAUGCUUUCUGCAGAGCCCUGCAAUACCUCCAAAGAGGUGGAUAAUUCAAAUGAAGACCCCGACAACGAAGACGCGUUAAAAGACCCACAACACGGUGAUGUUGCUGAACAAGAAACCUUUGAGAUAUUGGAUUCAAUUGACGAUCUUAAUUCAGCGGAAGAGGAGAGCCAGAACCUCAACAUCUCCAAAGAAGACAUUGGGGUCGUGGAGGAAGAGGAAGACGCGUAUCGGGUAAUUGAUUCUGUGGGAGAUCGGCCGACGACGACAGAGUCCGAGACCGGCAGCAAAGGGAAAAGAAAGGGGGGGAGGGCGGCUGCUAGAAAGAGGAGUGGCCCCUCCACCGCCUCCAAAAGUGAAGAGAAGAAGAAACCCGAUGCACGGACGAAGGCAGAGGUCACGGAGGACGCGGUGUAUAAGAUCGUGGAUUCUGUCGAGGACGAACCGGUUCAAGAAGCGCCCGCCCCAGAAACCGGCAGGCGGAGGAGUGCGAGAGUAAAGAAGGAGGAUAAAGUCCCGUCGGAUCUCGCGGAAGCGUCCGUAAAACCAGAGGAGGCCACCAGGGGGAAAAGGGGAAGAUCGGCGAAGAAAGAGGCUCCGAGUGAGAAAACCGAAACGGAGGACGCGCCGCCGAGGCGGCGGCAGACGCCUACCAGAGAGUCACGGGAGCGGAGCGGGGAGAAGACGCCAAAGCAGGAAGAGAGGGCGCCUCCUCCAAAAGAGAACGCGGCGGCAGUCGACUCCAUCGAGGACGAGGUAGCUCAGGAGGAUCGGCCCCCUGCGAGAAAAAGGGGAAGACCAAAGAAAGACGCUAAGACCACAAAGAAAAGUCUUGGCGCCGCUGCAAAGAAGGGCGACAAAGACGCGUCGAAGAAUGAAGAGGAGGCGACGUAUCAGAUCCUUGAUUCUGUGGGCGGCGAGGCGGUGGAGGAACCUUUGAAAAACGUCGACCAGCCAACUGAGAGGAGUGAAUCGCCCAAAAACGAGGAGGAGGAGGAAGAGGAGCCGAUGUAUCGCAUCAUAGAUUCCCUGGAUGACGAUCACGCUCAAGAGCAGCCGAUGACGGCGGAGGACGGGUCGAAAGAGGAGACCCCUCCGGGAGGAGAGUCAUCGAAAGAAGACGACCCGGCGGUGGAAGAGGCCGAGGAGGCGGUCGUGGAAGAGGAGACCGUGUACCACGUCAUCGAUGAUUUAGAGUCCGGUGAUGAGCCGCCUGCCGCAGGAGGGUCCGAGGGUACGGAAACGCCCAGCGCCGUUAAAUCCCAGAGCGCAACGGACGCCGUUGAAUCAAAGUCGCCCGAAAAGGACGACGCGUCGAGCACCUUGGUGAGCCUGGACGAGGUGAGCGAGGAGGAGGAGAAUUACCCGGACGACGCGGCCGAGGAGGAGGAACUGAGGAGGAGGCAAGCCGCCGCCAAGGAGAAGCAGGUCGCCGAGAAGCGAGGAGCGAGGAGGACGAGGGAGAGGGAGGAAAGGAGGACACGGGACACGGAGCAGAGGGAGCGAAGGAGCCGAAGCAGCAGCAGCACCAGCAGCAGAGGAGGAGGAGGAGGAGGAGGAGGAUCGAGGAGGAAGGAGAGGGGGAGGGAAAAGGAGAAGGAGGAGACGGUGGCGGUAGAUCCCAAAGAGAUGGUGACUCUGGAUGAGGUGGGGGCGGAUGACGUUGCGGAGGAAGGAGCGCCGGGCGGCGAGGAGUGGGAUGGAGAGAUCACGGAGGGAGAGCUGCAGGCACUCGUCACUCUGGAUGAGUUCAUAGGAGACGAGGAAGAGGAGGAGGUGGAGCCCCGCCCACCCAGCCGGGAGGAGGACUUCUUGAACCCAGAGACGCUGGUGACUUUGGACGAAGCCGGCGACGAUGAGGAAGAGAAGCCGCACGAAGAGCACGCUGAGAAAACCCCGAGAUCUAACAAACGCAAAAACGACGACGACGACGACGCAGGUACGCGUUAUUAUAUCAAGAAUACUUGCACGUUGCAGAUAAAUCAAUCACAUCUAAGGUGA
rnacentral:lncRNA from 1 species